AAGAAGGAGGAGGAGAAAGAGCGCAGCAGCAGCGGGCGCACGCCGAGCGGCUGCCGGGGGAAGCAGAGGCGCCGGAGGCUGGGGCACCGCCGACGCCUCGGGAGCCAUGACCGAAGGGGGAGAAGGAGGCGAGGACGAGAUCCAGUUCCUGCGGACUGUGAGUCUCCGCGGCGGGGGAGAGGCGGCGGGCAGGUGGGGAGGAGCGCGGAGCCGGGCGAGGAGGGGCUGCGCUGCGCCGCGGUGCUCGAUGCGCGGUGCCUGAUGCCCGGUGCCCCGCGAGUUCUCCGCACCCGCGUGCUGCAGAGACGGACGGGUCACCCACCCGCGGGGCCGCGAGGGGUCUGCGUGGGAAGGGGCACCUUCUUUCGCCUGUUCUUUCCCCCACUUACGCCACCUCCACGCCAGACCCCGACCUCCACCUCCACCGCUCUCCGGGCAACUUGCUACUUGAUCUGAAACCUCUGAUGCCCAAACUUCCAUCCAGGGUUUGCUCGUGGUUUUUCUGACCCAAAGGAUCAGAAGUGGAAGAUCUCGCCCCAGAGUUGGCCGGCUCUUUUGCCCCAACACUCCACCCCAGCCCCCUAUUUCCUCCACCAUGCAUUGGGGAACCGCCAGAAGGAGCCAGCGGAGCAGGGGCGAGCUUGGGAAACCAUGAAGCGGGAGCAGGCAUUGGGUCUCAGAUCUGGGAUUGCUUGGUAGGAAAUUCUCCCACCUCUGUCCCUCUCGCACAUUAAGCCCCAAGCCAGCAGCUGCUUCUGGAGCGUUACUUGAUUGCCCCGAGUGUGAGAGCGGUGGCUUCUGCUGCCCGCUUUCCGGAGCCCCGCAGGACGGGGAAACCCCGGUCUCAAGCUCCGCGUCACUCAGGUCCCCUCCCUAGCACCGGAGGGCGCUGCUCCGCCCCAGAUUUUAGGGAAGUGGCAGGGGUGGGAGGUGAUGGUAGCCACAUCAACCCUGCCCCUUAGCAGUUAAUGAAAAGGUUUUUAAGGUGGGUGAGAGGGUGGGGGGAGUUGGGGAUUAAAUGACAUAGUGACUGUCAUAAUGUUUUGUAAACUGUAAAUUGCUCUAUAAGUGUUAGAUCAUUCUAUAUGCAUUGCCUAGCCCUCAGGAAUUAGAAUUCUUUCUCUGUCUUUCCUUCUCUUUAAGUGGCACCUUCAAACUUGGUCUCUGUCCAUCUUUUGCAACAUUUCUUCCCCUUCUUGAAGUGCUUCCAUUACAGUUCCCUUUAGUUUCUCUUCUAAACAUGGUGCCUGUUUGGGGAUUAGAACUUGGGUCUCAUUUAGGACUCACUCCCCUCCUGGGACACCUUCUGAUACUACAGAAAUUCAUCUCUGAUCUGCAGACCCAGACCCCAUCCUCAUGCCUCACACUGCACACAAGACACACUUACCACUCUUGACAGCCCUGUUGUAAAUCUUCCCAUUUUCGCCAAAGCCCUUUGAAAUCCUAGGGCUUUCCUUCCAACAGGUGUUCUUGGUAUUGGAUGGAUGGCAGCUCCAGUACUUCCUGCCUUGUGCCUUCCUCAGUCGGUCCUUUCUGCUUAUUAUUUGUCAUUCUGACAAAUUAGUUGAUUGAAGAAAUCCCAGUCUGACAGAUAGGCUCAGUGUUGGAUAGCUGGCCCAGAGGGUCAAGGCGAACUCCUAGUGGCUUUCUUGAGAUCCCCAUCCUGUGUAUUUAGCUUCCGUAGCCGUCUUUCCUGAGUUUUCCUCUCUAUCAAACAGAGUAGCUGUGUUUUGGUACACCUGUAACUAAGGCUUACUGUAGAGCGGUGCUUCUUGAACUGUGUCAUGGGCACCCUGCUCCUAGAUCACAGCGGGUGUGCUCAUUUUAGAGCCCAUCCAUAAUGCCCUAUGUGGUUCAAGGACCCAGGUUAAGAAUCUCUGUUGCAGAGCUACUGCAUAUCAGUUAUGGCUUUCAGAGAGAGCUGGAAGUGACCAUAGGGGUGAAUGACUCCAAAUAUGGCAUUGAUUCUUUUUCUUCUAAUAAUCACCUUAAGGAUUUUUUAAGGUAUGUUCUUCAGUAACCCUGUAAAGUAGCUUAACGUGGUCAUCUUUCGCUUAUUGGGGAGAGAAUAGGUGACAAAACUGAGACAAGGGAAAUCAAGUGAUUUGCCAUGUUUGCCCAGCAAGUUGCUGAUACUUGUCAUUCUGACAAAUUAAAUUCCUACUUGAGCUUGGCAUUGAGCAUUAUUCCAGAGAUUAUAGUCUUAAGAAUAUACUGAGAUGAAGCCUGCCACUUUCUGAAUUCUGACAUUCUCCCUCUGUAGCAUGAAUUCACAAAAUUACUUCUUCAAACCCAACAGAUGGGUAAGUUUUUGAUCUGCACAAAAGUUUGGCUUUGUCUUGCUGCCUUUCUGGGAGUCAGAAAUUACAAGGCUGUGCUACCAUUGGGAAUUUUUCACCUUUGAAUACAACUGGGUUUGAGAACAUAUUUCACUUUGAACACCCCCUUAGAGUUUCUUUUCUCAAAACAAUAUCUUUUAAAGCAUUUUGAUCAUAUGUUAUGCCUUUUGGCUCUAUUGCUGUUCCAGAGCAGAAGGUGGUUGAUUAUUGACAGUGGAAUGGAAUUCCAUCUUUGCAAUCAUGAACUUUACAGGAUUGCUACGCCAGGGCAGCAGCUUUUAAACUUCCUGUUAAAAAAUACACCUUAGGAUAGCUCUGUGUCAAAGACCCUUGUCAAAUUGUUGGCAUUUACUGUGUCCUCUUUAUCGUGAUAGAGACGAAAAUGAAAGCAGCUAGAAGUAGGGAUAAACUGAAAUGGGCCAGAAUUACUGCAGUCAUCACUGGAAGACACUUGCGAGGUGGUGGUGUUCACCUUGGUUGCAUCUUCUGAUGCAUGUGAAGCCUUCUCUUUCUCCUCGGUUGGAGGCAGGUCUCACACAAGGGGUUUGGAAGUGUAAGUGCAUCAUGUUAACUAAAUGCUCCCGUACCCCAAACUUUAAAAUGGCUGGGUAAAACGACCUAGUCUCUCUAAGUCUCCUGAAAUCAUUGGCAGGCAUCUAAGUCAGUGAGAGCAAGUCAGCCAGCCGGAUAGACCCAAGAAUCUUCUUUAAGGCUACAAUUUUCCCUCCCACUGCUGCUGGCAGUGGCAUCAUCUUCCUUUCCAAUUGCUCUUGCUGACGUAGCCAGUGUCACUGACGUGGCUCUAAAGCUGCUCAGAAGCAGAUAAAGCUGCCAGCCACCGAUCUGAAAGCAAGAAGUUACGGUUAGGAGAGUGACAAUUACUCUAUCUUCAGCUAGUCGGUGGAGCGGCUGGCACCGCAUCAUGCAUUGAGAGUGCCAGGGAAAAGAUGGUUUCUCCCCCACAUUUUUCCCCCCCUUGGACUACAGCAUCCAUUCAACAAAGAGAGAAAGAAAACCCUCCAAGCCUCAGCUUAUUGUUUUUCAAAUGCCACAGUCCUGCUCCUUGCCAAACCUACCUCUCCACCACAAAGUUCACAGAAACAGAACUCAAAGUGAGACAGACAUUCGUUUUCAUUAGUGUCAGGUUAAGAUUGGUCAUAGAUGCCUCAUUUAGCCCUCCUCUUCAUAGAAGGUUGUCCUCCUUCAUCUAAAACUGUAGCUCUUAAGGAGCAAGAAGAGGCACUUGGGCUGAGAAUCGAGGCUGCUGCUAUGGUCUUGGGUUCCUCCCUCCAGGGUGACUAGGACAAAUCCCUGGAUUUUGAGCUGCAGCACUACCAUGAGUCACAUUGGUCCAGAGCAUAUAGUCCCAGGUUGGGAUGACAGUGAACUUUCCCUUGGUGGUUUAUGGAGUCCUGCUUGCUUCUCUCCUCAGCUGAGUCUCUUUACGUAACAGCCAUAAGGCCGGGAUGCCAGUGUGCUUUUGGUAGCUUCCCCUCCUCCCCCAAGGGAAGCCACGUGGGGGAGGGGAGGAGAUGGUCACAAGUGACUUCUUCCUUCGAGCCCGUGGGCUCUGAGUGACAGUGAGCAAUGAUGGAAGGAAUGCCUGACGGCAGACCCGUGUCGGUCAGGCAUACGGUGUUGGAAAGCUGGGCUGGGCUCUACUGCAGAAUUAGAUUUGAUGGUUAAAAUGGCAAAACUCAGAAUAUUCCCACACCCUAAGCCUCCCAACAUCACUUUCCACUUUCUCAGUCUCUUCCUUUGCUUUUGGAGAGCUGACCUUAUUAAGGAGCUGGAUCAGAGGAGUUGGACACUUGCUCUCCCCUCCUUUCCAGGAAAAUGCCCUGGGUGGAUGUAUGAGGAAGCCAGGACCUCCUCACAGAAAUUAGCUUGCAUCAGAAAAAACAUUUCGGCACUUGGGGUGUUAGCUUCUACCCCCGAGACACUGAGCGCCGUAACCAGGGCUGUCCUGAGGGAUUGUGAGCUGUGGAGCUCUGGGGAGUGAGGCAGUCAUGACUGUGAACUUGGAAACACUUGGAAUGUGAGAGGAGUAGCCCAGAGUGAGAAGAGUGGGACCAGGAACAGGUCUGCAGUUGUAUAAGGUGUGUCUGAUGUCUCCAUGUUUUUUUCUGAUGCUAAUACGACUGUGAGCAGGAUGAGGGCACUUCAGUGAAAUGCACUUUCAGCAAUUCCUUAUUUCUUUUCCAAUAUUGACUUAGAGGAAAAACAAAUAUAUUUCCUUGGUUCCUUAGGGUUGAUUUGAGAAGGGGGAAAAUGUUGCCAAAGAAAGGGUGGGAGGAAUUUAUCUGGAGAGCAAAAUACUCUGAUAAUUAUUUUUGAAGGAUUUGUGUUUAAGUAGAUCUUAUGAAUAUAUGUGUUUAUUUGCCUCUGUUGCUUUUUUGUGAUUAUCUGUAUUCGCUGCUUUCUGGGAAGGAUUUUUUUUUUUAUUUCAUAAUUUGACUCUUCCUUUACCUUACAACUUAAAGAGUGUUUAGUUUAGAAACUACCAGCUCCAUCAUUUUCUAAUUGACUUGCAUCCUCCUGCAUGAUUCUUACCAAGCUCUUGUGCAGGCCCAGGAGGUCCUGUGUCUGCAGAAACCAGCACUUAGCUCAUUUCCUACAAUCCCACAUCCACCUAAACCAUUCUUUAUUAGCCCUGUCUUUAAGCUACCCUUAGUACAAGAUUUAUCCAGUAGAGGUGAAAUGAUGUAAUAAAAAAGAAUUUAACUUAGACACAGGAAUUCUUAUGUCUAGCCCUCGCUCACUAUGACCUUGAAUGAGUCCCUUAAGAAAAUGAAGGUUUUAUUCACUUAUAGAGGUAGAACCUGCUUUAAUAGCUUCACAGAAGUGUCAUGAGUGGCAACUAAUUCCAGCAGUACCCAAAGAAGAGAAGAUGUGUUUCAUUGAGUAUCACCAUUGUGUUUCUCCUGCAUGAGGAAAUCAACCCUGCGCAUGACUAGAUCUUGUUAAAAAGCACACUUUCCCUUCCUCUGAUAAUCAUCCCAGAGUCGUUAGACGGUCUCCAGUGUUGGUCCAGACCCUGCAUAUCUUGGAAAUUACUUGAUUAAAGCAAACCCAAGCUUCUCUCAAGCCAUUUGACCCAAAGACUUGAUUGAGAAGGCAAGUCAGUUGGUGCAAAAACCCUCAAAAGGCCAGGUAGGCCCCCAGGAUUCCAGCCACUGGGCAGAAGCAGAACAUUCAGUUAUUUUUUUUGGUCUUCUCAGAAAAUUACCAAAGCUGCUAUUUCCCAUUGGACCACCUUUGCUUAUUGAAUCCCGUAUUUCUUCCUUUCAAAGCUACCCCUCCCGCUUCUUCCCUCCCAUCUCUUUUGUGAGACCCCCCUUCCUUUCUCCCAGAGUGGGACCUGCUUUCCUAUAAAGGCAGGCCUCCUUUUCCUCUCGGGGAUUUUGCUGCUUCAGUCAUGUCUGUUUGGAGAGUCAGAGCCUUUGAAAAGUUCCUUUGGGCUGCACCUGGAUGAAGCAGGUGCUUUGGUGGUGGGAUCCCAGCCAGCACUGAGGCUGCAGGUACCACUUCUCCUUAGGGAGCCACGUUGGGUCCUCUGUCUUUGGGCUGGCGUCCUCUCAACCAUCUUUCCUGUUUGGAAGCCGGUGGGGGUAUUCUGGGGACAAAGACAUUUCCAGCCACUGCAGCUUCCUUUGCUUCAGUGAGUUUUGCCAUCAUAGCCCCUCUUCAACUCAGAGAGAGGAAAGGAGAAGUGCUGGCACCUUAGCCCCGAUCUUGCUACAGGGAUGGGCCUUAUGAGCUGCCAAGAAUUUUUUUUUCCUCUUUAUGUCAUUUCUGAUUCCUGAUUGUUAGAAAACAGAGAUAAGAUCAGCCUCAAGACUGAUGAUGCAAU
rnacentral:lncRNA from 1 species